rnacentral:rRNA from 1 species
AACGAACGUUAGCGGCGCGCUUAACACAUGCAAGUCGAGCGAGAAAGGGGCAAUCCCGGUAAAGCGGCGCACGGGUGAGUAACACGUAGGUAAUCUACCCUCGGGUGGAGGAUAACUUUCCGAAAGGAAGGCUAAUACUGCAUGAGACCACGACCUCGAAAGGGAGUGGGGUCGAAAGCCGGCCUCUGUACACAAGCUGGCGCCUGAGGAUGAGCCUGCGGCCCAUCAGCUAGUUGGUAGGGUAAUGGCCUACCAAGGCGAAGACGGGUAGCUGGUCUGAGAGGAUGAUCAGCCACACUGGAACUGAGACACGGUCCAGACUCCUACGGGAGGCAGCAGUGGGGAAUCUUGCGCAAUGGGCGAAAGCCUGACGCAGCGACGCCGCGUGAGUGAUGAAGGCCU